rnacentral:misc_RNA from 1 species
UCAUAGGACCUACUAAGUUGUUCCUUUAGCUCAUCCAAUUUCCUGAGAAGCUCUGCUCGAUCUUUUUCAAGGUGUUGAACUUUAUUAGCCCAAUCAUGGUCAUCGUGAUGCUCUCCAUAACCAUAGGAAGAACCUACAUUGUAAUUAGAUGGGCCAUCAUCUGGGUAGUUUGAAGUAGAAAAUCUCACACCUUCAACCUCAGUUCUCAAGACUCUUUGAAACCCCUCCAUUUCACCUCUCUCCCCACACUCCCAGCCUGACAUCUGUCCUGUCCAGAUCUCCAAGACCUAUUCAUAUGUCUGAUUUCAGAAUUCAAAUUGCCAUGUUCUCUUCCCACAGCACUGCCCAAAUUAUC